ensembl:lncRNA
CAAAGAAGGCGGGGGUGGGGGUAGCAGCAGAAGGAGCUACUCCCCGGCCGCUGCACAGUGACCAGAGCAGCCCGCGAUCAGAGCUCUGAACCCGACUAGUUCCUGGCUUCCUCUUCGGUUCCCUCCUCCUUCUGCAGCGACAACCCCCAGGGUCUCUCCGUAGAGCCUUCGAGAGCCCACGGUGGCCCGGGGCGCCGCGCCCUGACCCGCGCUCUAGGGUCGUGGAGGACUGCGCCCCAUCUGGGAAGACUGCGGCGCUAAGCCUCAAGUACCCCAGGGACACUGAGAAAUCGAAAAACGCGAGUCAGAGCAACUCCCGCCCCCCAGGAGCUGGGAACAAAGACCCCUUUGUUCCAGCUCUGUCCCUCUCCCGAGAGACCAGAGUCCCGUGGGUGUGGUGUCGUGGAGGGGAGGAGACAGGUCACUGCAGGUAACCCGCCUCCGCCUAGAACUUGGGAGGGGGAGGCACCCCACCGUGGUGUCCUAGGUAGCAAAGGCAGCCUGGGGCUCUGGAGGGAGGUGUCCCCCUUCAGGUGCACCUGCCAGCCCCAGCUCCAAGUCAGCUGAGUGCCUGCUACUCGGAUGAUGGGGUCUCUCCAGGUGUGAGGUUUGUGAACUCUCCUCGGCUCCGAAAGGAAUUUCAGGAUUACAUGUGUCACUUGUUUGAAGAGCUCAUUGACCAUAAAUCUCUGAGGGAGAGGGAAAGAAAGAAUGGGAGGAGGGGAAAGAAAGGGAGCAUGCACUUGGGUUCCAGCAAACCUCAUCUGGAGGAAGGGUCCACCCAUGGAUCUGCUGUCACUCUAUCUCUUCUGUCUGCCACCUUUGCUACAUCCCAAGAAGACUUUCUGCAUCUUAAUUCUGAAUAUGAAAUGAAUAGGCUUUGUGUUUGUUUUCUCGUCGUUGUCUUUUGAGACUAGGUCACAUGCAACUUAAACUAGCCUUGAACUUCUAAUGUAGCCAAGGAAGAACUUGAACUUCUGAUUCCUGCUUCUACCUUCAAUGCUGGGACUGCAAGUCUAUGCGACUCCAUCUAGCUGCACUGGGUCAUUGGACUCCUGUUUAUCUAGUGAGUGUACCAGUAUCCCCUAAUUUCUCCAUCCAUGAACAACACUUGUUUAAGAUUCUUUACCACAUCUGGAGACAAGCCAUGGAACGCUUUACAAAUGAUUUGAUGGCUUAGUUUUGGCUCCCUCAGAGCCAUGCCCCACAUGGAUGGUGCAGCUUCUCAUGGAAUCAUCUAUCGCUCACACUUCAUUUCUCACCAUCCUCAAAUUUUAGGCUCAGGGAAAAUAAUUUUUUUAGAAAGAUCCCAGUUUACAGUAUUCUUCCAUGGCUCUGUGCUUGAUCACACUGACCUUACCUCCUAACACUUACUUUGCCCACCAGCCACCCCUCGGUUGUAGAGCAUCAAAGCCGUGCUCGCACCUUUAAGCGACUUGUUUUUGCUGAGUUACACAGAUAUGCUGUGAACACCCAUUCACAAAGCAGAUGUUGGGUGAUGAACAAGGCAACACAAAUAAAGUAAUUAUCUCAAUUUCUACUGUCUGUUCCCCGGUGUAUUCCCAGCAGCUUACAGAGUCCUUAGUGCAUUGUGGGAACAAAAUUGUAUGGGGGAGAAGUAAGUAUUAGUUAUCAUAAUUAUUAUCUCAACUACACCAAUAGUUGUUAGUUUAUCUGGUUUUUGUUUUCUGUUUUGUAUCAACCCCUGAGGUUGUAAGUCUGUCUAUCACAUAGGCUGUACUAGGCAAUGUUUGAUAAGUGAGCAAUGAGUGAACGAAUGGAUAGGAUUCACCUAGGGCAGAUCUUUCUGUUCAACAAGUGUGAGCACUAAAGUCGUCAUGCAUUUAUUGUUCACUUAGCUCUCCAGUCUCAUGAUUUCCUCACUGA